GAUGAAGAACGCAGCAAAAUGCGAUAAGUAAUGUGAAUUGCAGAAUUCAGUGAAUCAUCGAAUCUUUGAACGCACAUUGCGCCCGCUGGUAUUCCGGCGGGCAUGCCUGUUCGAGCGUCAUUGCUGCCCUCAAGCACGGCUUGUGUGUUGGGCCUCCGUCCUCCUCCCGGGGGACGGGCCCGAAAGGCAGCGGCGGCACCGCGUCCGGUCCUCGAGCGUAUGGGGCUUCGUCACCCGCUCUUGUAGGCCCGGCCGGCGCUUGCCGACACAUCAAUCUUUUUUCCAGGUUGACCUCGGAUCAGGUAGGGAUACCCGCUGAACUUAAGCAUAUCAAUAAGCGGAGGA
rnacentral:misc_RNA from 1 species